CAGAGUUUUGAGGCAGAGCUGAUCAAGGGAACCUCAACAAACAACCCCAGCCAUGGAGGCGGCGGUGUCUUUGAAGACCCCAUGAGAGCAUCAAACAAGGGAGAGAGGCUGGAACAAAUCAUGGUAGUAAAAUGGCGGCAGAGAGCUAGUAAUGUGUCUGCAAUUGGUGGGUUCUUGGUCGCACUGACUUCAAGAAUGAAGCCGCGGACCCUCACGGUAUGACAGCUCCUCUCCCAACAGCUCUACUUUCUACAUCUACUCUCUACCACCACAAAACUUCUUUCAGUUCCAUGAAAGGGCCAUGUUUUUCUGGUCUCUUGGCCUAGGAGCAUGUUGUUCUUCUGCCAGCAACCUUCUUCAACCAUCUCCACAGGAUGACUCCUCUAUUGGAUACUUCCAUGAAAAGUCCAGGCCUGGGUUAUGUACCCUUCCCAAAGUGCACCCCAGACACCCAACAGUUUUUCCAGCCCAGACUCACCACACUGUGUGGUAAUUUCCUGAUCACUCAGUUGUGCUCCCCACAGACUAUAAGCUCUAUGAGGGCAGGGGCCACAGUUUGCUUGUUCACUACUAUAUGCUCAGUACCUGGUAAAUAUUAGUUGACUGAAGAAUGACUAUGUGGUAAUCUAUUCCAUUGGUGGCCUCCAGUGAACCAUGUCUUCUGGUAUUUACAUCUUGUGUGGUCCCCUCCAUUAAAUUUGGGCUUUAACCAACAGAAUGCUGCAGAAGCGACACCCUGCCACUUGUGCUUUUGUGAUCCUAGCCACCAGUAAGAAGCCCUGUGACCUUGCUGAGACCCUGAAGAGACCACAUAGAGAGGCCACUUGAAGGGCAAGGGGUCCUGACUCUACAUGGAGAGAGAAGCCCAGCCAUCCCUGUUUCCCAGCUGAGUCCUGACCAGAUAACUCACUACAAGACUGACCACAGGCAAGAACAGCAGAAGAGCUGCCCAGCUGAGCCCAUCCAAGAGUGCAGAAUUUCAAGCAAGUAAAAUGACUAAUGUUGGAACUCAGAAUGAAGGGGCCUCAGGUUACCUGCAUCAUUCUGGUUUUUUGCUCCUGUUUUACUACGAAGCAAACACCUCGACUAUAAGCCGCCAUAGACCAGGGUCUGUGUCUCAUUCGUGUCUGGACAAUGCAUCACAGACACUCAACUGUUUUCUGCCUGAGCAGAAUUAAGACUUGGCCUCCUAACUCCUCCAUCACCAUCUUCUCCACUCUCUUCCUUGGCCUUCAUCACCAACACCACCUCAUCAACCGUGAAAGAUUCAAAGAGUAAGGAAAACCAUUUCUAGGACCAUGAAAUGUGUCACUGGAUCUCCUGCAGAAAUCUGCCAGAGCUACAAUGUGACUGGUUUCUACAUGUCUGACAAAUUUCUAUUUAAAUAAGUAUUUUUCAAAAUGCAAAUUGCUACCUAUUCUUUGGCCAUCAAAUCACUUUAGUGGGUUGCAACCGGCUUUUUCUUCUUAAUAGAAAAGGAAAUGUGUUGCAUUUGGUAAACAUGGAAAUUGUUUUAUAUGGUGUCUUUGGUGGCUGUUCACCCUUCCACAGUAAACAUGCUUGGGAAGCAACUUUGCCAAAAGCCUUCGGACAGUCCAGCGUCAACACCGCAAGCCAAGUGGAGGAGAAAAAUCUGCGCCUCUUUCUCUCAAGGGAUACUUUGUCUCUGGGGUACUUUCUGACCCAGUGGACCCCUGGCAGAAGUAAGCGUGGACUGUGGCUGCAGGACCACGCAGAGUCAACACGAACCGAAGCCAGGCCUUGGCCACGGCAGCUCUGGGGUCCAACCACUUGAUCAAUGCAGGAAAUGCUUUGAUGGCAGAAUUCUUCCAUGGCCAGCUUCUCAUAUUCUCUGGGACAGACACAAACCAAGAAAAAUGAGUGUGGCGCAGAAUCUGAUGUGUCCUUCCUUACCCCGUGCUGGUAGCAAAAAGUAUGUCUUGAACUUUUCUUUGUUACACACAGUCUGGGUAAUAACAGACUGAAGGAAAACUAAAGAAGCUUGGGAGGCUAAGUUCAAUGACAAAUGAAGAACUAAGGCAGAGAAAAAAGAGAAUUGAGAAAGUGUCUGGGUGUCUGGAGAGGUUGGGGGAAUAGAGAGGGAGGAGAUAUAAUUGGCCAGAUAACUUGAGAGUGGGAGAGGAGUGCAAACAUUAUUUUUGAGGCGCUUUGUUGGAUAUUUAAAAUGCACUCCUACCUUUGGCAUUUUCUCAAAAGGCAAGAAAGAUUUGUUUUCAAUUCUAUUUUUCUGCUGGACUGAACCAGUGCCAAGACUGGACCAUGUAGGAUCCUGGGUUUAUUUCAGUUACAUAAGCAAACGUUGCUGUGAUUUGGAAUAGUCAAAGUCAUGAAUGUUUCUCAACUUCCAUUUUGUCAGCUGCUUGAGUUUCUAUUCUGAGAGGUGCUAACUGUGAACAUUGUUAUUCACUUGUGUUCCCUAAAUCACUUUUAAUUAGUUUUAAUUUGAACCAAGAAUGUUCUACUGUUGAAACUAUGUCAAGAAUGAUCAAAAAUGAAAUUAAUAAAGAAUUCGCGUCAAAAAAAAUUUGCACUAAUAUUACAGUAUUUUAUAAUGUCUAUCUCAGCAGAGUCACAGAUAAUUUAGAAUUUUUAAUUUUGUUUUUAAGUGAUUUUCCUCAAAGCUAUAAUAGCCUUGGUAAAGAGUUUAGUUAAACAUUAUUUUUCACCUCUCACGCAUUUUGUGUAAUGAAAUUUUUCUAUCAUCUUCCAGUGGAAUUAAUUGCAUUGGUGCAAAAAAUGCAAUCAAAUCGAUGACUGAAUUUAGCCUUUGAAACCUCACGUCUAGCUGGGAUAGUUACUAUAUUCAUUACAUACUGAAAAAUGAUAAGCAGUAAGCUUUUCUGCUAAAAAACUGCCAAAGAUAAGUUUUUCAAGGCUCUCAAAAUAUCCUAAAGCUGACAAUACAAGAAAUGUUAAAAUAUUGUUGGAAUUUUUAACGGAAUCUUCCUUCUCUUCUUUUCCUGUUUAAGACAAUAGUAGUUAGUUGUCCACUAAUCGUUAAUACACGAUUUUCUAACAAAGACUUGCAUAUCCUUUUGGCUAAAAAGUGGCCAAAUAUCAGAGAGCUAGAAGUUUGGGAGACAGCCUUUAGUCUUUUCCAAAGCAUGUAAGCCCUUUUGAAUCAUUUUGGGUAAAUGGCGAAGAUUAAACAGAAUUCAUAAAGGGUUUCUGAUACAUAAGUGGAAUGUGCCUGUGAGGACACUACACAUGACAAUAAUCUAAGCAUGCUCUCUUUUAGUCCCAAAACGUGUAGAGUAAUGUCACAUGAAAUUUACAGGAGGCCAUUGACUUGGACUGAGCUCCUGCACCAGGCCUAACAGACCAAACCAAAAUGGAGUCACUCAUGCUGAAGUUCACACCACCAAGCCAAAACUGAGUUGUUUAUCCGAUCUUCCAAGAAAUCAAGAAAGACAGGGAGAUAACAGCCCAAUCCCCAAACAGGCCAGUUUUUGCUGGCAUGAUAGGAAGGCCCCUCUGCUUCAAACUUUCCAAAGAAAGUAACUUGGAAACAACCAAUCUGCUUUUUGUUCUCCGUUUCUGCUUUCCUCAACCAUUUUCUGACCAUAAAACCAACAUCCUUUGCUCGGCUCAUGGGAACAUUCAUUCUAUUUUGUAGAAUGAGGUGUUGCCCGAUAUUCUAGAUUUGCAAAUAAAAGCCAAUUAAGAUCUUUAAAUUAAAU
rnacentral:lncRNA from 10 species